UACGAAGGGUGCAAGCGUUAGUCGGAAUUACGUGGCGUAAAGCGUGCGUAGGUGGUCUCUUAAGUCCGUUGUGAAAGCCCUGGGCUCAACCUGGGAACUGCAGUGGAUACUGAGAAGCUAGAGUGUGUCAGAGGAUGGUGGAAUUCCCGGUGUAGCGGUGAAAUGCGCAGAUAUCAGGAGGAACACCAAUUGCGAAGGCAGCUCGCUGGGACGUUACUGACGCUGAGACGCGAAAGCGUGGGGAGCAAACAGG
rnacentral:rRNA from 1 species